rnacentral:lncRNA from 1 species
GUAUUUUAGAGCAUUAAUCAAUUCUUUUUAUUUCUGUUCCAGACUGUUUAGGCAAGCAGACAGGGGAACAAGAUCGAAACGCAACUUAGUUUAUCUGCAAAGAAGUAAGGUUGGUAUAUAGUAUGUGCCAUGAUAUGGUAGACUGUGACAUGAUAUACUUAGUGGUAUAUAGUCAAUGUUUGCUGCACUUGGUUGUUGAAGUUAAAACUUCAAACUGAUUCUUUUACUCUUUCUUCUGCUACCUCUAUUAAUUUUGUUUAUUGUAUAAUUAUGACAGGGAUGUCUGGACGAGACAAGGAUAAGGGUAAGGCUCAUGCUGUAGAUCAUGGGAAGCCGAAGAAAAAGAAGAAUGGAAGAAUAGAUGUUUCCUCAGACCCUACCAGACAGUGGGUUCGGCCGACGGGGGUUAUCUUCCGUAACAUUGAUGAACGAACUGGUACUCCUAUUCCUACUGCUACUACUCCACCUCCUUACCCCACUCCAUUCCCGAUUAUUCCUCCCGCACCAUUCCUGCCUAAUCCUCCCGCACCAUUCCCGCCUAUUCUUCCCGCAUCAUUUCCAGCAGCUACUACUAGUCAGGCUACUACUAGCCAACCCCCUUCCGCACCAUUCCCGCCUAUUCUUCCCGCAUCAUUUCCAGCAGCUACUACUAGUCAUGCUACUACUAGCCAGCCCCCCAUAUAUUCUAAUCCUGGUUUUGCCAUGCCUGGAUUUACUCCGCCAUCCACACACUCGCCAAAUUACAACACCACCCGGUCUAAUGUCCGACAAGGCUUUAACACAUCCGUUCCAUCACAAUCAUCAACGGAACUGAUGCAAGAUCUUAUGCAAACUGGAAAUUUCCUAGCCUUACUUGCUGAUCAACGGCCUCCACAACAGCAACAACAACAACAAAACAACCAAAAUGAAGAGGUACCGUCUGGGGGUGAUCGACAACGACGACAACGACGUCAAAUCAUUGAAGACUGGGAGUAUGUGGAUAACCUUAUUGUGGUUACACCAACACCUGAAACGUAAGUAAUACAAAUUUAAUUUGUUACCUAUGUUUGACUUAAUUCUUAUUAGUUUUUUAAAUGCAUAAUUUAAUUAACAAUUCAAAUUUGUAGGUUAGAGCCAUCCCACGGAGUAUCAGAACAUAUUAGAAUGGCGAUCUAGACGUUUUACCCUAAAUUUAGGCGUUGGGCCGUAUAUACAGAUCUUACUACCGAUGACAGGAAUAACCUUUUUAAAUACUUUUCGGUAAACACAUUUUAUUGAAUAUUAAAUAAUUGUAUUUAAUUUAUAAUAUGGUUUAUUUUUUACAUUAUUGAAUGUCUAAUAAUUUUUUUUAUUGCAGGAUUUUUGUAGAUGGGAACCUCAUCAUCACACUCUUGUAGAUAGAAACUUUCAUAGUGUAGCUGCAAGACGUUUAUCAGAUUUAUUAUAUGAUGAACGGAAGGAAUUGAAAAAACGUAAGGGCAAUUAUCGUACAGAAUGGAUCGGAGAGAAAAGUUGGGAGUUAUUGCUGAAGUAUUGGAAUGAAGAUCCACAUUUUAAGAACCGGUCUAGAGCUAACAAGCUGAACAGAGCAUCUAUUGUAGGAGGACAGUUGCACACACAAGGCUCUGUCAGUACCGCUACCCAUGCUAGAAAUUUGGUAAAAAAAAAUAUUUAACUAUUUAUAUUUCUAUAUGUGUAUAUAUUAAAUUUGCCAAAUGUUCUAAUUGUUUAAUAUUUGUGUACAAUUAGCGAAAUAGAUUGGGUAGAGUUCCUGAUCCGGAAGAGAUCCUUGAUGAAACUCGUUUCAGUCAGAAUCUUGGUCAGUAUGUCGAUGCUCGAGCUAGCAAUACCAAGGUAAAUUUUGAAUAAUUUUCUGUUCUCUGUUGUGUUCAUAGGAUGUGGGUCGUGUGUCGGUCAUAUGUGCAUUGUCAAUUAGUGCUUGUUGGUUGGUGCCUUUCGUUUUUAUUUGAUGCUUGUAAUCAUAUUGUUAGUUAAAUUAUGAGCCAUAUGCAAUGUUAGUUUCUGAGAAUAUCUUAGUAGGAGCUUGUAUUGCUGGAAAAUAUAUGGAUAGAAAUAUUAUUGUUCUUUUUGUGGUUGUGGUGGCUGCAUCACUGGUUCUGUUCUAGCAUUUUUGGUUGUUAGGUUUGCUCCAACCUGUUUUGCACAGGGUGCUGUUGGACUUUUUCCACAGCUUUUUUUCCUGUUGUUCUUGUCCUUGAUGUUCUAUCGGGUGGUGUUUGUUCGACGGUUUGGUUUCAAAGGCUUUGGCUGAUAGAGAGGCGUGUGUUAGCAGAUUUCUUAGGUUGGCUGCUUUAUUGUAUAUGUAGGUCUCAUUAUCUUAGAUUUUUGGAAUGUUUUUCUUUGAUUUACUUUUUGGAUUGGAGCCUUUGGCAUGCUGUUCUGUUACUGGCAGUGGUUAGGGAGUGUUUUUUUUUAGGUGAUCCAUUUUCUGUAUGUGGCUUUUCUGUUUUGGUGUUGAUAGCUUGUUGCUGUUGUGUGUUUGUUUUUUUUCGGCUUUGAUUUUAUUAUAUAUUCCUUUACUUUAUAGGCAGCUUAUCGCACGGAAGCAGCGGAGUUUUUGGAGGAGAAUCUUGAGAUUCCAUCAUAUCCAGAAAUUCCCUUCCCCAUUAAACUUCAAUUAUGGGCAAAGGCUGUAGAAAAAGGAAGACCGGAUGGAGGAAAAGGAAGAAAAGGUAGAAUGUACGGUCUUGGGCCGUUAGCCGGCAAUGUGGUACAUGGAGAUUUGUUCUAUGUUCCUCCUCCACCAGAGUCAUCAUCCCGUUCUACAGAGCUGCCUCUUGAGAUGCAAGCAAUGAUACAACGAAUGAACCAGGAGUUGCAAUCACAAAAGGAUGCAUUGGCAAAGAAAGAAGAAUCGGAGAAUAAGUUAAGGGAAUUGCUGGCCAAACAGGCCGAGGAAAUGAGAAAACUCAAAAGGAUGGUUACAAAAAGGAUGGGUGGCAUGAAGAGUAGGAAAACAUCGGAAUCAUCGUCGCCAUCGAGUCAAUCAUCACCGUCGGUUCAAGAAGACCGAACACAUGACGACGACAAUGAUGAUGAUGAUGAUGAUGAGGACGAGGACGAGGACGAGGAGAGGGAUGAUGAUCAUAACGAGUAAUUUAUAUUCUUGUUGUGUAUUUCAAUGUUGCUUUUAGCAAGUUUCAGUUGCUGUUUUUUGGUUAGGGACUGGUUUUGGGCACUUUUGGGGUGUUUUAGGUGGUCACUGUCAAAGAAAAUUGGUUUAUGCAAUUAUUUAUCAACAUGACAUGUUUUGUAGGAAACAAAUUAUAAAAAAAUUUGGGUUAUUUUCAAAUUUUGGCGCACUUUUUUUAUUUUCGUUUUUCUAUGAAAUUUUGGCGCCAAAUAUUUUGGCACCUCAUUUGAUUUAUUUGGCGCCUUUUUCGAAAUCAAAAUUUGGAUCUAAUUUCUAUUUUUUAAAUAUAAUUGUUUCCUAGGAAAGUUUCGUAGGAAAGCGUGUGUCAGUCUGCAAUUUUUAAUUAUUAUUGUUUCCUACGAAAUUUUCGUCGGAAAGCGUGUGUCAGAGGUGGCAGACUGCAAAAUGCUUUCCUACCAAACUUUCCUCGGUAAUUCUGUCGGAAAAAGUAUUUCCUCGGAAAUCUCGUAGGAAUAGAUCUAAAAUUUCCUACAACUUGUUUCCUCGGUAAUUUCUCGGAAAUCCGUGUUUUCCUACGAAAAAAGUGUGUUUUCCGAGGAAUAUUUCCCUAGGAAAAUUCAAUAUUUCUUGUUGUGGGUGUGUUUGAUUGAAUAGGCUGACCCCGGGAUUGGUGGAAUGCUUCAUAUUAUAAGGUUUGAUUUCUGAACAUUGUUUGAUGAAUUCUUGUGAUUCCUCCUUUUGCUUGAGUUUCAGAGUCGUUCGAAUUUUGUUUUAGCCGUGUUCUGCCUCUGUUUAUGUGUUACUUAGAUUUUUUAAUUGAGCUAUCUGAAAUGCAUUCAUUUGACUGUGCUCUGGUUUUCUUGAGGCUUCUUUUGAUUUGGAAAUUCACAAUCAUAUAGAUGUUAUUGGUUGUAUUGGAGUUCCUUGCUAUUGACUUGUUUCAGCAAUGGUUAAUAAUAUAUACGAUAUGGAAUUAUGCAUUUUUGGUUAUUAAAGUUUCUUGUGGAUUACUGCAUGACUAUGAAAAAUUGGACAUUCAUCAUUGUUUUGUUGGAUUGCAUUAUAUUGUUUAAGAACUUUUGAUAUCAGCUAGCAUGCAUUAUAUUGUUUAUUUUGGCAGGACAAAAAGUUGAAUAUUGUAAAAGGAUGCAAGAUUUGAUGAAGAAAGAGAAGGAAAAUAAAUUUGUAGAGUGUCAACAACUUGGAACAAAAAGAAUCAAGCAGAAAACAAAAUGGAAGGCUGAUAAUAUGGUUGGAUGAAUAGGAACAAUGCAGUGGGAUAUUUUAUACUCCCUCCGGUCUCAAAUGUAGGGAAAAAAAAAACACACCAAUUAAGAAAAUGAAUUGAUUACAUUGAAGUCAUGUUAAAAAAGUACAACUUUUCAAUUUUGCCCUUGUCAUGUUUUAGUAAUAAUUAAUGAAAGUGACUCUUGAACUCAUGGAGAUGGGGUAAAAUUGGAAUAGUAGCAUUUAUUAGGUUGUUUUUACUAUACUUUUUCUUACAUUUGAGACCACAAUUUUUUUUGUUUUUUUCCCUACAUUUGAGACCGGAGGGAGUAGAGUACAUGUUACAUUGGAUGAAAACUUGUAAUCAUUUUAGCAUGACAUUCAAAUUAUGUUGCAUAGUUCUACUUGUGUUGCAUAUUUCAUUUUCAUUAUGCAAGAAUCAAGAAAUUGUAGAGUAUGUAAUUCAAACUUGUUAUUAAAACUUGUAUCUAAUAUUGGUUAAUUCAAAUAUGAAUGAAGUUUAAGUGAAGACAAAUUUGGUAGAUUCAAAAAAAUUUAGCCUAGACAAUUUUGCGACACUUUUUACAACUUCUCAAAAAUUAUAAAUGUAACACUUUUUUAUUGUUACUAGUGAUACAAAAAGUGUUACAAUAAUGUAACAUUUGCGACACUUUUUAAUUUUUUUUUUUUUUUUGAAAGGAUGCAAAGAGCAUCUAAUCAAUUCAUUAAAGAGAAAAGGGGGACCAAACCAAAACCUUUUCAAAAGGUGACAUACCUGAAGUUGGGCAUACCCAACCUAUUCCUAUUGUACUCCCUCCUAACAAAGUCAGGAAUGCUAUCAAACCAAAACAACUCUGAAGAAGAUAAAGACAAACCAAAAUUCGCCAGUCUGUCCGCACAGAUAUUUCCUUCCCUGUAAACAUGCGAAGCACAGAAUCUCAUCCUAUGGGUAGACUGAAUACAAUUUUCCCACCUAUUGUUUAAAUCCAAGGAACAACAGAUUUGGAUUUGAAAGCAAGAAUCACUAAUUGAGAAUCUGACUCUAACCAAACAUUGGAGAAUCCCAUCAAGGCAGCAAUUUCAAUAGCAUUGAUUGCUGCAAUUAGUUCUGCAUAAAGAGCAUUAGCAUCACCAAGAAAUUGAGAGAAUCCACCUAAACAAACACCCUCGGAGUUCCUAAAAAUUCUACCCGCUGCUGCUCUUGAAGGAUUCUUGAUAGAUGCACCGUCUGUGUUCACCUUCACCCAAGAAUGCAUAGGAGGAGCCCAAAUGAUUUCUUUGAUCAAGGAAGCCCUAGGAGGCUUGAUGUUAACUUAGCAGCAGCAGUUUUAGUGGUAAGGUUCCCUGAUAAAGAGACUUUGGAAAUGAUCAAGUUUAUGGCUGUUCUCCAAUCAACCGUCUUACCUUGAAAUCGAAUGUUGUUCCUCCUAAGCCAUAUGAUGUUUAAAAUAUUGAUGAUGCAAGCUUGAACUACUACUUUGCAUUGAGGAGUCCAGCUAUUUGCUAAGAUAGCCCAAAUAUCCAUCGGAGAAUUGAAGAUCAACGACAUAUUGAGAAGAGAUGCUAGCCAAGACCACAUUUUUGAAGCAAAAGUGCAUUCAAAGAAUAAAUGAAAAGUGGUUUCCUCAUAAGCCUGACAGGUGAUGAGAUAAAACCGCAAGUGCACGGUCUUACCGAAGUAGUAAAAUAUGAGUAUCGUUCCGACAGGGAGUUACGAAUUCAAUUAACUUUAGAUAAUGAUUGGACUAAAGGUUUAUAAGGUAGAAAUGUUUGGGUUUUUGAUUAAAAGCAAAUAAUAAAAUAAAAGAUAAAAGUCUUGGGGUUAUUGGUUCAUCCUAACGACAAGUCCUUCUCAAACCAAACUAUUAAACUUAUAACUUUAUGUUAGACCUAAUUUCUCAAGACAGUUUCUCUUUUGUUCCUCUAGCAACCAAGCCUAUUUCGCUGACUUGAUUACUAUUAGAUUUUGGUUCCUCUAACAACCAAGCCUAUUUCGCUGACUUGAUUGUUAUUAGUUCCCUUGAAGAUCGAAACUAUAUGUCUCAAAGAUUGCAAAGCCUAUUUCGCUGACUUUGCAAUCCUUGUCUAAAUUCACUUGUUCGAAUAUCAAAGCUCCACUUUCGUUUUAUGAAUUGAUAUUUGAGAUGAUGGAUAAACAAUUAUCAAACCCUCCACUUUCGUUUCCACAGUUUGAUAAUGGUUGAUCCAUGUUAAAGCGGUGAAUUUAGAUAAGGAAUUAGGGUUACAUAAGAUUAAGGUUUAAAGCUUGGUUUGAUUAGGAUUAUGUCAUUAGACUUAUCCAACAAUCCCAAGACAAGAGAAGUCUACUCACUGACGUUCAUCGUAGACAAGGAGAAGAAGAGAGAAAGCAUAAAAGUAAAUAACAAUAAAGUAAAUGAACUUUUAUUAGAAAACAAUUGUCACAUAUUGCAUUCCAAGAAAAGAUGAAUAUUUGUGAUGGCUAGCUACUCUAUUUAUAGUACACAAUUGACUUAAAAUCUAAGCAAGUAUAUUCCAAGAAUAUUCCUCGGUAGAUUGUGCGCCAAAAUAGAAUAGCUUGGAGUCCAAGCAAAAGCAGCAAAAGGUCUCUGGAGGGUGGCACGGCCGUGCCAAGGCUAGCACGGGCCGUGCCAGGCUUCUGACUUGUGGGAGAUAUAUUUUGUUUCCCAAUCUUCGUAUUUUCGUGUCCAAUCUGCUCCAAAUCCCUUUCUUUUGCUCCAAGACUCAAUCCAUCCAAUAUUCUUCCCUGAAAUAUAAUAAAUUGCAAUUUAAAGUAAACUAUCCUAAAAAGGAAAUAAUACUAAUAUAAAAUUAUAUAAAAUCUAAAUAAAACUAAACUAAAAAGCAUAUUAAAAUAGCAUAUAAAUGACUCAUCAACAGGAUGAACACAUUGAGGGGAGGUUACAACCUCUAAGAGCAAGGUUAUCAUCGGCAGGGAGCUUGUUGUGCAUGGGUCUCCAAGUCAUCAAAGAUUUUGAAGGUGGGAUAUCCGGGCUCCAUAAAUCCUUGGCCCAAGAAAUAUUUUGGCCAGCACCAUACUUGAAUAGAAAAGCUUCCUUAAGAGAAAGAUCACCCGUUGAACUAGUUUUCCAUACAAGUUUAUCAUUUUUCGGGUGCCUAGGAAGAGUAAUUUGCAUGACAAGUUGACUCAAAAUGGGGUAAGAAUCCAGGAUCGAUUGAGGGAUGUGCCAGAGAGAAUUAUGAAUGUAUUCGGAGACCCAAGUUGUUAGAGUGCUAUGAACAAUAUCUGGAAAAUUAAGCAAAGAAGCAAUAGGUUUGUCCAUCCAGGUAUCAAGCCAAAAAUUAAUAUUCUCUCCAUUACCUAUGAUCCAGCUACAAUUGUCAUUGAUGUUGUUGAUUUCAGAUUUAACACUGCUCCAAAUAGAAGAGAAAAUAUGGUGAGAGAUUACUUUCCUUCCCCUAAACACCUUGCUUCGAAGGAGAAUUGCCCAAUCUUCACUAGAAUUUUUAAGAUCCCAGCACAUCUUCAAAUUAGUUGCUUCGUUCAGAGUAUACAAAGACCUCAACCCCAAGCCACCUUCUGAAAAAGGUUUACACACCUUCUUCCAAGAAACAGUAACCAGCUUCCUUUUAGAAAUGUCACCGCUCCAGAUAAAAUUUCUGAUCCAAGCCUCUACUUCUUUUAACAAGGAAUUGGGCCAAGAGUACAAAGAGAUUGUGUGCAUCAUCAUACCUUGAAUCACAGCUUUCACAAGAGUGACUCUCCCUGCAAUAGAUAGAAGAGAGGCUUUCCAAGCACCAAGCUUAGACUUAAUCUUAUCCGCAAUAGGCUGCAAAUGAGAUUUUUUUGGUUUCCCUUUAAAAAUUGGAACUCCAAGGUAAGAAAAAGGAAAAGAACCUUUAUUAAAACCUAUAAGAUUAGUUAUCUGCUCCAGCCUGGCAUUAGAGAGAUAGAACCAUAAUAAACAGUAGACUUGGAGGGAUUAAUAACUUGGCCUGAAGCCAGAGCAUAAGAAUUGAACAAGUCCAUGAGAGCAUUAAUUGAAGAUAACUUUCCUUUGCAAAAUAUCAUUAUGUCGUCUGCAUAAAGAGAGUGAGAGGGGACCUGGACACUUCUAGUACCUUUGAUGAGCUCAAGCUUGCCUUGAUCCACAAGUUUAGAAAUGUUCCUGCUUAAGACGUCCUCAGCAAUGCAAAAAAGAAGAGGAGAGAGAGGGUCACCUUGACGAACCCCUCUCUUGCAAUUAAAAUAACCAUUCAGUCUACCAUUAACAUUAAUAGAUAAAGUGGCUGAGUUAAGAAUUGUAUUAAUCCAAGAGAAAAAUUUAUCAUUAAAACCAAAACUGCUUAAGACUCUGAGAAGGAACUUCCAUUCUAAAGUGUCAAAAGCUUUUGAAAUAUCUACUUUGAAAGCUAGAUUUCCAGCAAAAGACUUGUUGUGAAGUUGAUUGAUGGCUUCUGAAGCAACGCAAACACAAUCUCUGAUGUUUCUUCCUUGAAUAAAACCUCUCUGCUGAGUAGAUAUGAUAUUCUUCAUGAUGGGUGCCAACCUGUCUGCUAGGAUUUUGGAAAGAAUCUUGAAUUUGAAAUUAGCAAGAGCUAUUGGCCUGUAUUGGGUAACUGACAAUGCAUCAGGGACUUUAGGAAUAAGAACAAUGAUGUUAGAAUUGAAAUUAGGAAGCAACCAAUCUUUAGUAAAAAAUUCUAAUACAGCAUUGAUCACAUCCUGCUUAACAAUAUCCCAAUAAGUUUGAUAAAAAUUUGCACCAAACCCAUCCGGACCAGGGGCACUAUCUUUUUUCAAGGAGCAGACAGCGUGAAAGAUUUCUUGAGGACUGGGAAGCAUAGUAAGCAAAUGAUUCCGGUCAUCAGAUAUUAGAUUAGGAACAACUCCAUCAAUUAAAUCAUCAACCUGCAAAUCCUGCACAGAAAAGUUAGUUGAAAAAAUAUUUUGAAAGUGAUUUGUAAUAUGCGAUGAGAUUUGAUCCAGCUCAGUAAUCACGUUCUCCCCAUCCACAAUGGAACUGAUAAGUUUAGAGGUGUGUUUGAUUUUGGCUAGACGGUGGAAAUAUUUGGUGUUCCUAUCCCCUUGAGAGUGCCACGAAGUGUUGGAUUUUUCUCUCCAAAAUGCUUCUUCCUUCUCCAAAGCAUUCUCUAAAGAUAUUUGAGCAUUUUUUUGUUGAUCAAGAAGAGCAUCAGAAGCACCAUUGAUGUCAAUUUCGGCUUGAAUGGAUAUUAAUUUUUGCUCAGCUUCUUUAACAAGAAUGUUAACGUUGCCAAACACAGUCUUGUUCCAAAUCUUAAGUUUUUGUUUCAGGGACUUCAACUUUUGAUUAAGAAUAAACAUAGGACACCCUACUACAGUAGUAUUCCAGCUUUGUUGAAUCAGAUUCCUACAAUCUUCAUGAAGGCUCCACAUAUUGAGAAAUUUAAAUUGAGAAACAAAUGGUGUUGGCACAGUUUCAAACUCCAUCAACAAAGGAAAAUGAUCUGACUUCAGUCUAGUUAAGGUAGAAACAUUUAAUGAAGAACACAUAUCUAACCAAGCUUGAUUACAUAUUGCCCUAUCUAACCUUCUUUCUGUAAACCUUAGACCUCCCCUACCAUUGGACCAGGUAAACUGCACUCCUCUAGUAGGAAGAUGAAAAAAGCAAUUAGUAUCGGACCAAGCAAAAAAAUCAUUCAUAGGGGCCCUUGCAGAAGGAGUGGCACCCCUAUGCUCAUGGGAUCCUAAGAUGGUGUUGAAAUCCCCGAUGAAGCACCAGGGAAGAUUAUAUUGUCUUUGGAUAUUUUCAAGGGUUUGCCAUAAAAGCCUCCUAUGUAUGUAAUUGUUAGAAGCAUAUAUAGCGGAUAUACAGUAGGUUAAGUUGUUUUCUUGGAUUGAAAAGGAUAUUUGUUGGUCAGUGGUGGAUAAAAUGACAGGGUUUAAGUGAUUUAGGCAUAAACACCAAAGAUUGGGGUCUAAGUGAUUCCUAUUGUUUAGGGCAAAAAGUUUGAAGUGCAGUCUGUUAAACCAGUGUCUUGGGAAAUGUUCAAAUAAGAGCCAUGGUUCGGAAAUAAAGAUAAAAUGAGGUUUAUGUUGUAAAAUUAAAUUUUGGAGAGCUAACCUUGACGGGGAGUUAGCUAAACCCCUAAUAUUCCAAUAUAUGCAUUUCAUUUGAAAGGCUUAGUUGGAACCUUAGAACGAGUAAGGUACGAAGCACUUGCCUUUGAGUUGUUGGCUUUCUGACCAUUCUUCUUAUUUGUUUUUCUAGUGACUAAUGUGAAACCUGAUGUAGCAAUGUUGCUUUGAGUUUCAUUUUGAAUUUGCGCUUCUAUGUCUGCCUCAUUUGGAAGCUUAGCCAGCAAGUCUGCUUCUUGUUGCUUAAUCAAUUCAUCAUCUACAUCAUUGAGGUUGGCCCAUGAUUGAUUCAGAAAAUGCAUAUUGUUUCGUACCCUUGCAGAUGAGUCUUGCUCCUGACUUGAAUCAUGCUCAUCUGCUGCAUCAUUGUUCAGCUGUGUGGCGUCUACGAAUUCAGAUUCUUAAGUGCUUGCUUCACUUUCUUGACCAUCAGCAGGGAACUCUUCAUUACGGUUCAGAGCAGCAACAGGGGAGUUAACAUUCCUUGCAUCUAUUUCAUGUUGUUGAGUCUUUUGUGUUCCUUCUUUCAUCCCUGCGUCCUUAUCAGCAUCCUGCUGAGUUAUUUGCUUACUAGAAUUCUUUAUGUCUAGGUCAAUAACAGGUGUAUCUUUCGCAGUCCAAACAGCAUUCUGUUUCACCAAAGGCGCCUUACCUUUGUCCUGAAUUUUCUCAGCUGGCUCGCCUUUAUUAUUUUCCUGGUGUGUACCAUCGUUGUUUCUAUUACCGGCUUUCCUGCAAACACUUACAUGAUGUCCUACAGCCCUACAAUAAGCACAGAAUUCAGGCACAUUUUCAUAUUCCAACUCCACAAAGAAUGCAUAUCCCUUUCGUUCAACAAGAACCUCGUAUCUCAGCUCUUUACUCAAAUCAAUAUCGAUCAAAACUCUCGCAAAAUGACCAAACGUUCUUUCAAUUGCCGGUUUUCUUGUUACAGCGUCGACACAAAUGGGAGUGCCCACACUACUAGCAAUUGCAAAGAUGAUUCUUUUCCUCCAGUACUCCUGUGCUAAUCCAUGAAUCUUAAGCCAAACUUGUGCAGAAGUAUUUCUUUGUAGGUUAGGACUAAAGUCUUUGCUCCAUGGAAAUAGUUUCAAUAACCCAGGAUUUAACAUCCAUGACCCAACUGAUCUCACUCUUCUUGCAUCUUCAACAGAUGAGAAGACAAACUCAUAGUACCCUUUUCCAAUAGAGGUGACACCCCAAGGAGCUAGAUUUUUCCAAACAGGUUUCAACUUUUCUUUUAGAGCAACAACAGUUAAAGGAGCGGUACCUUUCGGCCAAAUGAUUCAAGCAUGCAGGUUGUUCUUGCAGGCCUCCAUACCCAAAUCGUACUCAUCAUCAGGAAUUGAAAUUGAGAAUUUUUCACCCUUGAUUGUGGGUUUUGGGAGCUGGCUUGAUGGUGUAUCACAUAUGUUGGUUAGGGCUUGUGCAAAAGACAUCUGAGCUUUGGGUAGAUUUUGAAUGGGUGGUUUUUUUGGGGCGAUUGGAACAUCAUCAGAAUCAUUGAGGCAUUUCCAGUCGAUCGGUAGUGGUUUGAAGGAGGUUGGUGGUGGUUUAGGCAUGGCGGUGGUUGAAAGAGGGGAAACCAUUGAGGAAGAAGAUGAACAGUGAUUAAAACGCCAGAGAAAAAUUCAUCGCUCUCUAUCACUUUUUAAUUGUUACAAAUAAUACUAUAAAAUGUAACUAAAACUCUUUAGUAACACGAACUUUAUCUAAUAAUUGUUCGAAUGUUGCAAAAUUUAAUUAAUAACAUUUUUCUUGAUUUAGUUACAAUUUUCAAGUGUUGCUAAAUGUCAUUAUUGUAGUAGUGUUUGUUAUUAUUAACUUUACAAAUUCUUUAAGUAAAAAAAAAUAGUUUUUUUAACUUUUCUUUUGUUAUUUAUAUUGGUGAUGUUAAUGUUAUUUAUACACAUUAGAUAUGAUGAACUUCCUUUAUCCAACGGUCUUUUUUUUGAGGGAUUUAAUAUUAAUAAAAUAGGAUCAAAUCGAUGACGAAAAUAAAGAUAAGAACUAAAUUGAAACGUUUAAUAGUUAAGGGACCAAACUGAAAAAUUAAAAUAAAUUUAGGGACCGGAGGAUGUAUUAAGCCUUUUAUUAUUACUUAGUGUGACUCUUUCAAUGUGUCAUCAUUACUUAGUGUUUUUUUAAAGAAUCAUUACUUAGUGGUUCAUAAUCAAUUUUCCAAUGUAAUUACAAUUCAGUAAUAGUGUUGGUUAAAAAAUAUUAAGAAUGCAUAUGUAUUAUUUUUUAAUGAAAUUGAACAAUUGUUUAUGGCAUUGCUACUUAAAUUAUGUGGUAAAAAACAUUAUUUUAAGAAAAAUUAUUUUCCUUAAUUUAUCUCGUUCUAAAUAAUAAUAUUGAAUUAUAUAUUAAAUAAAAAUAUUGAACUAUAUAUUAAAUAAUAAAAUUUUAAAGAAAUAUUGUCGCUACUUAAAUUAUCUCCUUGAACAUUGUCAACCCUAACCCUAAGACUUGAAGUUGGCGAUUAUCUCCUUGAACAUUGUGAACCCUAACCCUAAGGCUUGAAGUUGGUGAUUAUCUCCUUGAACAAUGUCGACCCUAACCCUAAGACAUGAAAUUGGCGUUUAUCUCCUUUGAACAUUGUUGACCCUAAGACUUGAAGUUUGCGAUUAUCUCCUUAAUAAGUUGCGAACCCUAACCCUAAGGCUUGAAGUUGGCGAUUAUCUCCUCGAACAUUGUUGAUCCUAAGACUUGAAGUUGGCAAUUAUCUCCUUGAACAUCGUGGACCAUAACCCUGAGACUUGAAGUUGGCGAUUAUCUCCUUGAACAUUGACAACCCUAAUCCUAAGACUUGAAGUUGGCGAUUAUCUCUUCGAACAUUGUUGACCCAAAGACUUGAAGUUGGCGAUUAUCUCCUCGAACAUUGACAACCCUAACCCUAAGACUUGAAGUUGGCGAUUAUCUCUUCGAACAUUGUUGACCCAAAGACUUGAAGUUGGCGAUUAUCUCCUCGAACAUUGACAACCCUAACCCUAAGACUUGAAGUUGGCGAUUAUCUCGUCGAACAUUAACAAUCCUAAAUCCUAAGACUUGAAGUUGGCGAUUAUCUCCUUUUGCGUUGUCAACCCUAACCCUAAGACUUAAAGUUGGCGAUUAUCUACUUCAACGUUGUAGUCAUUAUUAACCCUAGUCAUUCACUAAAAAAGUUCCGAAAGUCAAUAUUACCCCUAGUCUUUAACUUAAUAAGUUGUCAAAGUCAUUUAUAACCCUCGUCCUUAACUACACAAGUGAUAUAAGUUAUUUUUUUCUCUACUACUUAACUAGACAAGUUAUAUAAGUUAUUUUUUGCUCUACUACUUAACUACAAAAUUGCAAAGGUCGUUUUUAACCCUAGUCCUUAAGUUAAUAAGUUGUAGUCAUUACUAACCCUAGUCAUUCACUAAAUGCAAAAGUCAAUAUUACCCCUAGUCUUUAACUUAAUAAGUUGUCAAAGUCAUUUAUUAAGUUGCUCUACUCCUUAACUAAAAAAUGGCAAAAGUCAUUAUUAACCUUAUUCCUUAGCCAAACCCCUAUAUAACAUCUGCAUCUUAGUAUAAACAACUUCUUCAUCGAUUUAAACAUGAAAAGUGUUGGAAAUAUAAACACAUCUAACCCUAAUAGAUCAUAUUCAACAGCUUCUUCUUCAAAUGUUACAAGAAGGGGAGCAAAAUGCUUUUGUGGUUAUCAUACAGUUCUAUUGACUUGUAAACAGAGACCAACUGCGGGUAGACAAUUCUGGAGAUGUCCACUUUGGAUGGUAUUUAUUUCUCCAUUUUAUUCUUCAUUAAAAUUCAAUUUUUCAUGUCGAUUUCUAUUUUAAUAAUUUUGUUUUUUGUGGAUUAAAACCCAGACACAACAAAAAUGUCGCAAGUUUAUUUGGCUUGAUGAAAGUGGAUACGAAAACAUUAACGAGGAUGAAGAUCUCCAGACUCGAAGUGAUGUUGGUGUUGUUGAUCUAGUGAAAGAACUUGUGGAAGAUGCACACAAGAAUAAAGAGAAAACUAAGAAUAAUAAGAAGAAGCUUAAUCUGAUGAAAAAGAGGGGAAAUAUACUGCUGGCGUUGUUACUAAUCAUGUCUUUAUAAGUUUAAAUGUUGUAUUUUUUAUGAUGUUGAUGAAGUAAUUUUAACCAAAACUUUUCAUUAAUGAAAAAAUUAUAUAAAAGUAUCUUUAACUUUUUAUUUUAUUUUUGACUUUACGAAUUCUUCAAGAAAGAAAAAAUUGUUUCGUUGCCAAUUCCAAAUUGCAAAAAGUUAAUUAUUUGGUUGCCAAUUCCAAGUUUAUCUAUCCUAUGCAACAAUGCAUAGGUUGCACCAAUAAAUGCAAAAUUUAUUAAAAAAAAGAAAUAGAAUGAUUAAUAGGAAGGAAGAAAAAACCAUUUUGCAAAAGUAGUAAAUGACAACUAUAAAACUAAAAAGAUAUGACAAUAUCAAACUAGGAAGAUGAACUAAUACAAAAUGACGGUUAAGAGGAUGAAGAUGAAUCAGUUACACUGAAUUGAGAUAAAUUCUCAAACAGUUUUGAUGACAUCUCAUUUUAUAUUCCACACUUUGUAACGUCCAAUUUUAAAGUUUUAAUUAUUGAACGUUAACGGAAAAUAUGAAGAAAUUUUUUUAUAGAGAAAUAGGUGAAAAAUUAAUUAUAUAUCCUUUCAUAAACAAACUUCGUAAAAUUGGAAAUUCAUUAUUAUACAUUCAAAAUAAAUCAUAAAUGGUUAAAAUACUCAAAACUGGGCAUUUAGUAACUACAACCAAAAUCAGAGUAGUAGUUACUAAUAUUUUCAAUGUUUUCUUUCUCUAAGCAUGCAAUAUUUGCAAAAAUUAGAUGAUCAUCUAAGCAUGCAAUAUUUGCAAUGUUUUCUUUCUCUAAGCAUGAAACGUUAGAUGAUCAUCAAAACUGACUUGGAGAGCCUAUGAUAGGUUGAAGUGGAGCUUCAUUAUAGACACUCUGAAUGAUAUCGGUCUUCCUUGACAAUGUAUUGUUAUGACUAUGCAUUGUAUCUCCUCUCCUAGUAUAAGGUUUCUUUGGAAUGAAGAGGCUCUGGAGGAAUUUAAGCCAUCUAGAGGGAUUAGAAAGGGAUGUUAUUUAUCUACUUAUAUUUUUUGUCCUCUUAUCUGUAAAAGAGUAAAAGUUGUUCUUUCAAGUAAAAGAGUUCUAUCAAGUUUAUACUUGACAAGGUGGACUAAAGGCUAAGCAGUUGGAAAGCCAAGACUCUCUUUUGCUGGUAGACUCACUUUUGCUAAAUUUGUGAUUCAACAACUUCCUAGCCAUGUUGUGCAGUCUACUAUGGUUCCUAUGCAAAUUUAUGAUGAGGUUGAUAGAAAAAGUAGAGGUUUUCUCUAGGGUGACACUGAGCUCGCACGUCCUAUCUCACGGGAGAAAGUUUGCACUCCUUAAAAAGUUGGUGGGUUGGAACUGCGUACCGGCACGAUCUAUGAACCAAAUGUCUGUCAUGAAAGUGAGAUGGCAAAUUUGUAACAGGAAAGAUGAUCUUAGGAUGGGAAUUAUUCGAGAUAAGUAUCUCAAGGCCGUAUUGAUUCUUUUUUUGUUUUGUUGGAGAGGCAUACAUAAGAAUUGGAACCAUGUCAAUCAAAAUCUUCAUUGUCGUCUACGGAAUGGUCUUAGAGUAAAAUUUUGGAAGGAAAAGUGGCUAUCUUACAUGGAUAAAUUGGAGGCUUGUUAUUCAACUAAUGUAAAUGGAAGAGGCAGCCUAUUUGGUGAGCAACUUCCUGCAUGACCAAGGAGGAUGGGAUGAGUUGAAAAUGAGAUAUUUUUUGCCGUAACAAAUAUGCAACAAUAUUCUCCCGUUGGGUGCGCCACAUUCAAACAAUGGUGACGAUAAUGUGUGGUUUGGAUCCUUACAGAUGAUGGAGGGUAUGAGUUUCUUCAUAAGGCUCUAAAUUGCAUGCAUAACAAAAUUUUCUCAAUCAUUUGGAGCUUGGAAGUUAGGUAAUGACUACGGUGUUUGAUUUAGAGGUUUACUAAAGGAUUUAUUCUUACAAAUUCUGAAAUAUAUAUGAAACACCAUAUGAUUUCACCGAGUCGUCAGUUAUGUGUUGAUGCCACAGAAACAACUUCACAUGUGUUGAGGAACUGCAAGUUUGCCAAACUAGUUUGGGAUAAAGUUCUAAAUCAACCUUCAAAUAGAUUCUUUGGAUAUGAUGAUCUAAUGUCUUCAAUUGAGUGGAACAUUGCUGGAAAAAGAAACUCUUCUCAACAACGGGAAAUAACAUUGUUUGUGGUAACAAUGGAUGCAUUUGAAGAUCUAGGAACCAAUACAUUCUUCUUAUAACCGUGAGACUAAUAUUGAAGCAAUAUUCAAGGAAAUUAUAGUUACAGAAGGCAAGAGAUAUUCCAAUUGCAUCAAUUGAAUAAGUGACUGCAAACGGAUACAAUUUGAAAUUUGAACAAGUCUAAGGGAAGGUUGUUGGCACUCGGCAGCCCCCGAUUCAGUGGAGGCUUUGAAUAUUAUGCAGGAUGUGUAAUUAAUCAUCCUUGUUGGUCAACGGAACCGCUUUUUUGCAGAAACGAAAAAAAACCAGAAAUAGAAUGAUGAAGAAAAUAUCGCAGAAAUGAAGAAUAACAGAACCAGAAAAGAAUACAUUAAAAUAAAGCACUGCAGAAUUGUGCAAACAAAACAGAAAUGCUAAAAAUUGCAGCAAACUAAACUGAUUAUUAUGCAGAAAUUUUAAACCAAGAACGCAACAGUGAAAAUAUCGAAGAAAUUAAAACCAAGAUUACGAGAGUCGAGAGGAAAUGAACACGCAAAUAGAGUAAAUAAGAUUGCAUUGUUCAGUACCAAAAUAAUUCCCUUCAAAGGUUUAACCCCAAGCAUUUUGGGCAGUGUGAAAGAUUUGAGACAUUACGAAAUUUGUGCAGCUCAUAGAAGGCAUUUAACCAAACAUACAAAUGAUUUAGCAUACAACCUAAGUAUUAUUUCUGAUCUUAGAAAAUCUAACCUCAAACCAUCAAAAUCAAUGCAUAAUUGGGAAUUAUAUAAACUGAAAUGCAAUAAUGCAUGAGGAGAUAAUAAAAACCUUUAACAAACAAAUAAAUGAAAAUAACUACAAUUUAUUUAUCAAGCUACAGAUUAAGAUGACCAUUAAUUAGUAAUGACCCAUGAAGUAGGUAAUAAUCAGAACAAUUAUAAAAUAAAUAUCAUAAGUAUAAAUUAAAAUAUAGUUUUUAGUUGAAUCUCAUGUUCAAGCGAUAUCGCAUCACUACUACAUUCUAACAUUAAGAAUAAGGUGAUACUAAACUUUCAACGCAGACUUCUAGGAUGAAUUUAAACUGAAAAUAAGAAAACUUUACAGAGCCAUUUGUAGAAUUGUAAAAAACCAAGUUCCGGGUCGAAUCCUGUGUAGACUUCCACGUCACUAGGCCAUCCUCAAAAAUAUGCAUUACAUUGGCAAAGAAAUAAUAAGAUGGCAUGAAAGGAAUAGUGAACAAUUUAGUCCAAGACGCUUUCAUCCCAUAUUCCUUCAUUAUCCAAACAUCAUUACUAGAAAUCCAGCACAAACAAUUCCUGAAAACACUCAAGUGCAAAGUACGUGAAUCUAUUGCUCUAUAAUCAUAAUCAGGUAGCAAAACUUUUUUAUAAGACUCGUUUCCCAAAUCAAAAGAAGCAAUAAAACGUUGACCUUUACUAUAAUCUUUAGAAGCCAACCAAUUAAUCGCGCCAUUCACAUAUUUUCCCGAUUUCUGCUCCACAAUGAACCCAUCAUAUUGGAACGUCUCUUUAAUGUCUUUCCAGAUAUUGGUACCCACAUUAUGAAGCACCUUUACAUCAGUUUUGUUAUGAUCCCGAAAAACAACCACCACCUUGUAAUUAUCAGAAAUAGGAUCAUGGCCGAAGCCGUGCAUCUGAAGAUUAUAACCAGUAUGUUGCAAUUCAAGUGGGGGCAAUUCCUUGAAUUUUCUAAUGGAAGGGUUCCACAAUCGAUAAAUAACAAAGCGUUCAUAGAUAUGAUAUUCGGCAACACAGAUGAUGCCAUUGCAUGAGCCAACAUUGUAAAUAGAAUGGUUGGAAGCAAUCUCGUGCUGCGCGAUUUUGUUGCAGGCUACGUCUUUGGUGAAAAGAGAGUCGAGAGGGUAAGACUUGAUAAUGUACUUGUGUGAGAGUGAGGAGUAGGCUAAGAUGUGGAUGAGGCAUGUGGUUGAGAAGAGAAAGUGCUUCUUGGCGAACUUGGGAUCAGAAAUUAGAGAAUUCCACCACUUGCACACACAUCGAAAUUGCAUGAGGGGUUUCACGGGGAGCCUAUGGAGAAUUUCUGGAAUGAGAUCGAAAGGAAUAGUGGGAAGUGGCGAUGAGUGAAGUGACGAUGAAAUUAGGGUUCCUAUCAACUGCUGUGGCUUGGUGGUGAUUGUUUUCUCAGUCAGUAUUGGAGAAGAAACGGUAUCGUUUCUUUUGACUGCCUUGUUUGCCAUGUUACUGUGUAUGGAACUAAGAGGGUUAACGUGACCGAUGUAUCCAGAUCUGUCAUCUAUACAGUCUUUUUUUUUUUUUUUUUUAACAUAAAAAAUAAAUUUACGCACAUCACAUCACAAACCCUUGUACUUAUCUCAUCUCUGUAAGUGACAUCAUAUUAUUUAUUUUUUAAGUCACACAUAUUUGUAUUUAUCCUUUAAGUACUUAACUUUUAAUCAUAUCAUUGUACUUCUCUAUAAAUAGAGAUCACAUGUAAGAUAAUUGUACAUCAGAAGAGAAUAUUAAAAUCAUCUUUCUUUCUCUCUCCUUCUCUAUUUCUCUUUAUUUGUAUUCUUAUUCUAAUAGUUUUAUAACAUCACGAGCUUACCAACUAAGGGAUGCAAUUUGUCUUAAUCUACUUUUUAUGUAAUCUUUAUAUAUAAAAUUUAACCCGUAAGCCAAUUUUUAACCUAAUUUUAACCUAGAUUUUACGAUGACUUUUACGUUAUUACCCCGUGUUCAAUUAAACCUGUUUAUUUAAGAGAUAAACUUUAAAAAUCGUUCCUCCCAUUCCUCCUAUUCCUAUAACAAUUUCCUCCUAUUUUGUUUCCAACACAACAAUAAACAGAUAAACAUACAAAAAGAAAAAAAAUACAAUUUCCUCCUAUUUUGUUUCCAACACAACAAUAAACACAUAAACAUAAAAAAAAAAAAAAAAAAUCACUCUUAUUAACAAAUUCUUCCUAUUAUUUCCAUUUAAUCAAAAUGUUAUUUUCAAAUGUUUCUAAAAUAAAAAACAACAGCUCACUACUAAAUCCAAUCCAAUCCUAUUUUCGCUCCUAACAAAUUCCCUUUUUAAAAAAAAAAAGAACCUAACAAAUUCACAAAUUCAAAUUCCUGUAAGUUUGUUGCACCUUUUCCAAUUCGUGUGCAUUAAUUAAGGGAUGAUUUAAUCAGAAUUUGUUAGGUUUUUCAGUAUAUAUAUCAGGCUUCCCAUUUUUGCGAUUGCAAAAUUCAAAUUCCCUUCUAAUAUUAACCACGACCCAGACUCCAACUCCCCACAAAUUUAGCUGUUUCCAAAGCACUUUCACGUAUCAAAUCUUCUAAAGCACUUUCACGUAUCAAUUCUUCUUCUCACUAUAAAUGUGUACCAUACAGAAUUGAAUAAAACACAUCCUUAUUUAUCCCUUUAAUCAUUCGUUCAGAGAAUUUCUCCCUUUAAUCAUUCAUUCAAAGAAUAUCAAGUGGUAAUAUUGAAAAAUGUUGUUGUCGUAUCACCGUUUAACGGGUAUAUCUGAUGCUAUGGUCUGAUUUUUGCGUAUGUUUUCAUGCUUAAAGAUGUUUUGUAACACUUUUUAUUUUUACUGUAUUGAUGCAACAGGUCCUUUGGUUAAGCCAAUUUUUAACCUAGAUUUUAUGAUGACUUUUACGUUAUUACCCCCGUGUUCAAUUAAACUUGUUUAAUUAAGAGAUAAACUUUAAAAAUCGUUCCUCCUAUUCCUCCUAUUCCUAUAACAAUUUCCUCCUAGGCUUCCCAUUUUUCGAUUGCAAAAUUCAAAUUCCCUUCUAAUAUUAACCACGACCCAGACUCCAACUCCCCACAAAUUUAGCUGUUUCCAAAGCACUUUCACGUAUCAAAUCUUCCAAAGCACUUUCACGUAUCAAUUCUCUUUCUCACUAUAAAUGUGUACCAUACAGAAUUGAAUAAAACACAUCCUUAUUUAUCCCUUUAAUCAUUCGUUCAGAGAAUUUCUCCCUUCAAUCAUUCAUUCAAAGAAUAUCAAGGGGUAAUAUUGAAAAAUGUUGUUGUCGUAUCACUGCUUAACGGGUAUAUCUGAUGCUAUGGUAUGAUUUUUGCGUAUGUUUUCAUGCUUAAAGAUGUUUUGUAACACUUUUUAUUUUUACUGUAUUGAUGCAACAGGUCCUUUGGUUAAUAAUCUAGAUUCAUAUAAUGGAGUGUUUGUUGUUCCAUCUUUUUGCUUUAUUUUCAGUUGUUGAAUCAAACAUUUGAUUCUUCAGUCUUGCUAAAUUCUCUUCAUAAUUUUAAUCUAAGCAUCCAGAUUUUAGUCUCUUUUCAAUUUGGACUUUCUUUUUUUACGGCAUCUGUCUCUUAUUUUCUUAAUCUUGAUUUUACAAUUUUUCAGAUUCUCCAUUGUUGCAGUUUUACUACGAUGUCGAUAUUAUGAUCUAUUUCCGUGUUCAUUUUCUUUUAAUUAAACGUAAGUAUGCAUUCGCUUUUCUUCAUUCCUUCCUUCGAUAGAAUGCCGUAUUAGCUUUGUUUAGUCUUCCCCUAAAUGAAACAAAUAAACAAUUUAUUGAGGGAUUUAAGUGUCUUCUUUUAUUUUGUUUCUUUAUUUUUGUGUGCACAACUCAAAUAAUACCUAUCUUGAAGUAAAAAUCAUGUGCAGUUGCAGGUCCUCACAAUGCAACAAUUGCUAAUGUUAUUAGUGGGUGAGUAAGAGUUUAGUCUCUUCAUUUGGUAAGGAGAUUUUAUAAAUAUAACUUUCAUUUGCAAUAUUUAAGAUUAGAACUCAGAAAAUAUACAUUGAUUUGAUUUUCACUUUGUGAAAACUUCUAGCAGGUGAUGAAAAGUGAUCAUGCUAUAUUUUAUAGAAAUUAUAUAGACUUAACUACAAGGGAUUUGUUUCUGUCUUUUAGUUGGUUAACAAUGUUUUUGUCCCGCAUUUUGUUCUCUUAGAUGUUACACUUUUUAUUUGUUAACAUUUAAUGCCUUCUUUAUUUUAAUUUAUACCUGUAAGUUCUUAUCAAUUGAUAGAAAUGUGACAACAUAAUAUAUUUAGUGUAUAAAACGUAGGACAUGCUUCGACAGAGGGUAUGAAUAUGAACCAGGCAUUUAACUGCAUGUGUGAAUAUUAACUAUAACAUAAUUUGCAUGUGUGAAUGUUAACUAUUAUAUUCAGAUAAUAUUUUUGAGAUUUAUUUCUCUUGAUAAUCCUCUUUAGGUAAAAAUUAUUGUCUUCACUCUUUUCUAAACUGCUUUGCUGAUUUGUUGUUUUGUAGUCAUAAUAAUAUUUUUUAUUAGAGGCUUUAUGAAUGACAAUACCAAUUCUAUGGAUAACACUUAUCCGUAGAGCUGGUCUUCAUGAACACACAUGAGUUCUCAUCAUAGCCAUACAAAUAGAAUGUUCCCUUUGAAAAAUUCUUGAUAUUGUGGAGGAUAUAAUGCAAAUUUAAUUUUUUGUUGAUUAGUUUAAAGAAUUGUAAGCUAAAUAAAACAAUCCAAAUAUUGUUGUUAAUUCUUCUUCUUUGCUCAUUGUGUUUAGCAUUUCAUUACAGGAAAACAAUUUACAUAGAAUUUCUUAAGGUGCCUGAAGCAAAUAUAAAGGUCUUCUAUUUUGUUUGUGGAUUGAGAUAAUGCAAAAAUUUCAGUUGUUUCUAAGCGUUAUUGAAAGUUAAGGAUAUUUGAUUUAUUUUUUCAACCUAUAAAAAACUGGUGUUUUUGUCUUAUGAGGAAAGUCAUGUGCAUGGGCCUACUAUUCAACUUAUGGUGCUUUUGACACAAAAACAAUACAACAAGAGGAAUUGUGAUUUUGAAGGCUAAAAAUCUUUCUUUUGGGUCCUUUGAGAAUAGUUGAUUUUUGUUUUGAAGGUUUAUUAUUGUUAUUUAGGUAUGAGUGGUUUUCAUGUAACAUAGGUUUUUGGAAUCAAGUAGUGACCAAUUUGUAUAAUGUCGAUUCUAUUUGCACUUGCAAAUUUUUUAAUUAAGUUUAGAUGAUUACAAUGACGAGAACCAAUUGUAAUUUUGAUAUGUGAAAGAUUGGAAAUAGAAUUUUAGAUCCCUGUCGUUGUCUAAUUUUUAUUUUUUAAUAUUCGUUUGUUUCAACUAAACGAUUUCAUGUCAUCUCUUACUUUAUUUUUUGAACUUGCGUAAGUAAAAUGUAUAAUACUCUUCAUCUUUUAUUAGUCGAAAUGACCCGUGCGACGCACGGGUCUAAAGUCUAGUAAGUUUAAAUUUUAGAGGUUCAUGGAGUUAGUGGUUCGCCAUUUAGGUUUUUAUUAUAAAUAGUAGUUUCCAAGCUGGGAAAUAGGUCGCAAAUCAUAUAUAGAAUUCUACAACACUCAAACUACGGGCGUCUAGGGAAACGAGUUAAUACAGAGUGUAUGUAAACUUAUUUGUAGACUACCCCUUUUAUUUUAAUGCAAUAUAUUUUACCUUUUCCUUGAGUUUACGUGCGUAAACUUACUUUUAUCUUUCUUUUAUUUGCUUUAUUUUAAGCUUUUACUUGAAAACUUAAACUUGUCGAAAGACAAUGCCUUUUACUUCAAACCCGUCCUGCUCUCUAAGUAACCUGAGUUCACUUCGUGGCCUUUCAAACCAUUUUCCUAUAGAAAAUCCUUUGCACAACGGUCUUGAUAUUUCUAGUUCGAUCUCGCUUGUAAUAAUCAGAACUAGCCUCUGUUUGCCAAAAUCACAGGCAAACAAAUUGGCACGUCCAGGGGAACCCAAUUUAUGCAAUUGAUUUUCAAAAACUUUUUCAAAAUCAAAAACCUUUUUCAAAAACUUUUUUAAAAAUCCAUCUCUUUGAAGAGUUUCGUUUUUAGAAUUUUGUUACUAUUUUCGGGUAACUUUUUUGCUAUGCUACAGCGAGUAAUUCAUAUCGCUAAAUACAAUUAUGAUAUGUAAAGGAAUACAAACUACAUCCUACAAAAUAAUCAAAACUAGGUGCUUGCAUAAGUUAUCAUCAUCAAGAGAGGUUUCUGAGGUCCAUAUUCAUUCAUCUUGUUAGUCGCAUAUUCCAUGUGUCAUAACCUCAAUGAAAAGACACCAUAACAUAGAAGUAAGAUAAUACUCAACAAUUAAAAGAACAGGACAUGGAUCUUAUAUUUCAAGCACCAUUCCAUCACCACGGAAGACAUCAUUCCACAAAUGCAUUCAUGUAAUAAAUUAUAUUUCUAAGUUCUAACAAGUUGAAAUACCACAACGUAUUCUUAGUUCUCGCAAAAACGAAAAUACCAGAAACAGAACGAUGAAGAAAAUAUCGCAGAAACGAAAAAACCAGAAACAAAACGAUGAAGAAAAUAUCGCAGAAACGCAGAAUAACAGAACCAGAAAUGAACACAUUGAAAUAAAGCACAGCAGAAAUGUGCAAACAAAACAGAAACGCCGAAAAUUGCAGCAAACUGAAGUGAUUAUGAAGAAAUUUAAACCAAGAACGCGACAGUGAAAAUAUCGAAGUAAUUAAAACCAUGAUUUAGAGAGGAGAUGAAUACGCCAAUAGAAUAAAUAAGAUAGCAUUAUUCAGUAGCAAAAUAAUUCCCUUCAAAAGUUUAACCCCAAGUAUUUUGUACAGCGUGUGAAAGAUUUGAGACAUUACGAAAUUUGUGCGGCUCAUAGCAGACAUUUAACCAAACAUACUAAUGAUUUAGCAUACAACCUAAGUAUUAUUUCUGAUCUUAGAAAAUCUAACCUCAAACCAUCAAAAGCAAUGGGAACUAUAUAAACUAAAUGCAAUAAUGCAUGAGGAGAUAAUAAAAACCUUUAACAAACAAAUAUAUGAAGCCUGGAAUUUAUUGUAAAAUUAUUUUAGCAAUAUCCUAGCGAAAUAGUUUGGAAACAUAAACUUUGGAAGACUAUAUUGCUACGAACUAAUUUGGAAGUAACCAAGAAUAUAUUAUUAUUAUUAGUUGCCAAUUAGCUAAGAAAUAUUUUGCCAGAAUCCUUCAAAAAAAAAAAAUUGCUAUAUAAUUUGUAGCUCAGUCCAUGCUACGGACUAGGGUGUUCGCGGUGCGGUUUGGUUCGGUUUUAAGCAUAAAAGUCAUCCAAACCGCGAGAUAAAAAAGCAUAUGCUAUUUGGUUUUGAGCAAAAUAACUCAAAUAUUGCCAACUUGUUACCAAAUAAACAUAGGACAUUUUAUUUUGAUGUUUAUAUGAUAAAAUAUUAGGUAAAACUUAUAUCAAAAUAGGUAAAAUUAAGAAGAAACAUAAGCAUGAAACAAAUUAUUGGGAAGUAAAGGAAACAAAUUCAGGAAAUGAAUUGAAAGAGAUGGAAAGGAAUUAGAAUCGAACCCGAUGGUACAACAAUGGAAAAAUCAAAUCAAAAGAGAUUAUUCUUGAGCUAAGUAAUUGGGAAUAUUCAUUAUUUUUGCGGUUUGGUUUGGCUUGGUUCAGUUGCUGAGAUGCAAACCGAACCGAACCGCGCAGUUCAGUGCAAAAGUCAUCUGAAAUCAUCCGAUCCAAGUGCGGUUUUUUGCGGUUUCGGUUUGGAUUGGUUUGGUUUUGCGGGUUUUUAUUGAGUUGGUUUGGUUUUGAACACCCCUACACGGAUAACCUAAAACUUCAGCUAAAUGUGUUUUGCUACAGAUUAGCUACGAAUUAGCUACCAUUAUUUUCGUAGCAUAUCAUUGAUUUUCUUGUAGCAAUCCCCUUUGAUCAAUCUCAUUAUAAUUUGUUUGAGUCACGAUACUUUUAUUCAAAGAGCGCAGAUCAAAAAGCUAAAAAAUGAAUUAAAACAAAAUUAUUAUUUUUUAAUAUUUUUAAAACAAAAAAUUUGUAUUGGAUAUAUAAGUUUUUAAGAUAUUGAAUGAUUAUAUUUGUAUAUUUAAUUUCUUAACUUGUCCUCCAAGGAUACAAGUCAACAUUUCCUUUUUUUACACAAUGCAAUUACUAGUUACUAAUUUAAAAAUAAAACUAAAUCUUUCUUAAUAAUUAGGCAAUCGAAAUUUAACAUAAAUUAACAAUGAAAUUAAAGGUGUUACAAAAAACAAUAAAAUAAAGUGAGGAAACAUUCCUUCAAAAAAAAAAAGUGAGGAAACAUAAUAUUUUUGCGUAUAAUAUGUAACAUAAUUAUUAGAAAUUAAAAAUAAAAAAAAUACCAUAUUUAAAAUCACACAGUCUUCUAUAUUCUGCCAUGAAACUUUCAUGUAAAGUAAUUAACAAUAUGAGAAUUCAUGGACAGCUCUGAUUAACCCUAGAAAACCCAAUACACAUAAAAACUUGUAGAACUAGUAGUAGUACUCUAGAAUAAGUAAACCCUAAAUAACUGCAUAAUUUAUGGAGACGGUGUAUUAUAGGGUUCUUCAAUCCAGCUAGCAAUCUCAUCUUCGUCAACAGAUUCAGCAUCAACAUCAACAUAAUCAGCACCAACAUCAUCAAGAAAAUUAUUUGACUCAAACUCAUAAAAGUUAAAAUUUGAAAAAUCAAUUGCUUCAUUCAUAUCAAAAUCAAAUAGUUGAAGGUCAUCAAGGCAACCAAGAUCAUCCAAACCCUGCCCUAAACCAUCAAAUAUUAACCAAUCCGAUUCAAGCAAUGUCAUAUCCGAAUCCUCAACGACAUUCGGUUUCUGUACCAAAAGACUUAGACUCUCAACAAUAGGUUCAUUACAUGAAAUCUUAGCCCUCUCAACCAAUUUAGGAACGCGAUUAACUAAGCCGGGCGAAGAUGAAGAUGAAGAUUUAUGUAACAUACCAAUCUUUGAUUUUUUAGAAACAACAUUCUUGAAACUCUUGCGGCUCUUCUCAUAAGCCAACCGCCGAUUAGCAAUGACUUGAAAUUCAUGUCUUUUAGUUUGAUAUGCAUGUGAAGCCGCUUCAGCUGUGUCAAAGGUUCCCAGCCAUUCGCGUGUACCCUUGAAUGGGUUACGAAUUUCAGCAGCAAAUUUACCCCAUUUCCUCAUUCGAACACCUUUAUAUUUGCAAGAAGGUUGUCUAACUAUAGGUUUUGGUUUUGUACGACUCUUAUUCUUAUCCGUCACUGUUUCAACCGGACAAACAGCGUUAAUGGAAGAAUUAGGGAUGGCAAGUUCAAGCACACAUCUCUUCCUCUUACCUUGUUCCUGGACAUAAUGAUUUUCUUCAUCUGAUGAUGAAUCUGUUGCAUCUGGGUCAUCAUAGAUAAUUCUUAACCUUCUUGUUCUUUUGGAGACAUGUGAUUUGUGACUUGGUGGACCCAUGAUAACCGGAAAAUUAACAAUAAUAACCUUUUUUGUAUGAACUCGAUGUUCGCAAUUGCAGAUACUAAUCUCUCAUGGUGUAGAGGAUGAGAUGAGAAGCGAAACUCCCCUUCAAGAGUUUAUAUAGCAAUAAUAGUCUUCCUUCACAAGACUCCUUAGAAGACCAAAAACUAUUAUAGGAAACAAAGUGAAAAAGGAAAUCAAAUAAAUACAUAUUUUUGAAUAGCAUCAAGUGAAGAUUCAAUUUUAAAGAAAGAGAAAAAUAUUACAGAAUAUUUUUAUAUGAAAAAAUCCCCGUGGCAAACGACAAUUCCGUGAAAUGACCUGAAACAAGAAAAUUAAUCAGAAAAAUAAAACAGAAUCAAAUAUUACAUUUAUAAAAAAAUAAAAAAUUACAAUACACUAAGUCAAUAAAAUUAACAAACCUUAUGAUCCUCAAAUACAUGGAAAUAUCUGUGUUGACUAGUGAACUGAGUAUCAUACAUGAAAAAUCUCCAAUCACUUCCGUGUUAAACCCAGAUUCUGAUGAAUUUCUCAAGGAAAUCCCAAUGAAAAAACCUUUUACCUUUUCUUUAAUUCUAAAACAAUAAAACAAGUUUUCAGAUUAAAAUAUCAUAUACAUAAGGUUCUGUACAUAUUGUUGUAUAUAUGAGUAAGAAGAUUUUUGUGUGACAUAACAAGUUCAUAAUUUUUAAUUAACGAUCAACAUUUGUGUUAUUAAAAAAAAGGAAAUUAUAGAAUACAAACUUUAACAUACAAAUAAUAAUUUUAGAACAACAAAAUUAGAAAAGAAGAAGGUUGAAAGAAAAGUUUACCUGAGAAGUUAAGAAACUAUUGUUGUGAUCAGUGUCACUGGUUUUCUUCUCUAUCGGUUUUCAUCAUCAGCAAUGGUGUAUAUACGUUAUACCGAUUCUUUUUUUUAGGAGCGACAUUAUAGCGAUUCAAGUAUUUUCUUUCAUUAAAACAAAAUAAAUAUUUUCCUUUUGUGAUUUGUUUAAAAUAAGUCACAACCAGGUGUAUUCUAAUCAGAAAUAUUUACCCGAGAUACUUGGAAAAUAGAGAAUAAAAAUAAUUAAACAUGUGCUCUUAAUAUACUACUUGGUAAGCAAGCAAAGAAAUAUUUUAUAAAUAAAAAAAAAAUUGAAGAUUUGUGUUCAAAUUAAUGGUUUUUAAUUGUCAAAGAAAAGAUAAUAAUUAAUGAUAUGAUUAUGAUUUCAAUACAUAAUUUGUAUAUUUAAUAUAUUUAAUUCUUUAAUAAAUAAUUUUUUUGGUAGUAACUAGACUUAUAAGUGUAGAGAAGUGGAAAGUCCGAUGUCAAACUCCGACCCAGUAUAUAUUCCUAUUUAUUAUUAUUUUUUGUUUUAACCCUCAUGUUUUCAGGAGAAUUAAGCUCUAGUAAUUCGAAGUUCGAUCAAGAGAUAAGUGAAGUUUGACCAAUAAUUAUUCCACAUUCAUUAGCCUUUGCUAAUUUAAUUUACUAAACAUAAUCGUCUAUAUUUGAUUUUAUAUUUCCUUUUGUUAUAUAUUGAUAUAGAAGAAGGAAAAUAUUUUAUAUUUAUUUCGCAUAUGUGUAUUAAUAUUUUAUUUUGGUGUUAACCAUAUGAUUCUUAAGGAAAAUGUGCUCUACUAAUCCGAAGUUUGUCAGAAAGAUAAGUAAAAUCUGGUUUAGAAUUGUUUCAUCAAUGAAUCAAAUACAAUUUCUCCUAGAAAAUUCUUCUUUUGAUAGAGCUUAUUAACCACUUGAGCCCAGAUAAAAUUUUAUUUCUCAUAGGUUAACUUCAUGUCCCCAUACUUUUGUUUUUCUUAUUUCAUAAAUGAAUUCCCUUAAUUAAUAAAAAACAAUGAGGAUGUAUCCCUUAAUUAAUAAAAAACAAUGAGGAUGUACUUAGUCCAACUUUUACACCAAAUAUAAGUUUAUAUUUAAAACCGGAAGCUGUAUAUUAUUUUUUUUCAAUUUUUCUAUUUACAUAAAUAUUUUUUCUUUUCAAAGAAAAAAACUUUCCAAAAAUAAAUUAUUUUCUAAUUUUUUACCAAAUUAUUUUCUUGUAGUUUUAAUAUUUAUUUUCUUUUUGAAAACAUCUUUUUUUUGACAAAUUUUUUAAAACACGUUGUUUCUUCUAAUUUUAUUAUUUACUUUGUAAUAUCUUGAUAUUUUAAAAUGUAAAUUUUGAGUUUAGUUUUAAAAAAAACUAAUAACCAAUAUAAAGCUUGUAAAAUGUGGUUUUAAAUAUUAUUUUAGUAACUUAUUACUCCCCCUGAUCUUUAUUGUAAGAAAAAAAAUGAAAAUCAAUGUAAUCAUUAACUAUUGGAAUUUUAAUACAUUUAUAGAAAGUCACAAAACAUUAAAUAUACUCAUUAAUACUAAAAAAAGACAAAUAUUAAUGAGGGAUGGAAAACUCUUGUAAGCAAUAAAUACAUCUUAAAAGAUGUAAUAUUUUCUUAAAAAUAAAAACAAUUUAAAAAAAAAAUCUUAAAAUAAAGACUGGAUGGACUAUUUCAUAGGUUAAAUUAAAUUAAAUGAAAAUAAAGACAUGAGGGAAUCAGAUGAAGAAAAUUAAAGCCACUGUCGAGAUAGAAAUUGAAGGAGAGGAAGCUCAAUUCAUAUAUGAAUACAUUCAACAGGUGUUGGUUUUAAUCCUCACCCACUAUUAUUCUAACAGAGAGAUGAGCGAUAGAGGUAGAGAAAGAGAGGCAGUAACCCUAGGCAUUGUCGAAGGUCACCGCGCCGGUGCUCUUCAUCGCCGGAGGUGAGGUACAAUGGGAGGUGUAGGGUUCCAAGCAGGGUGUCAAAAAUUGGGAGGGAGGGGGAUAGGGAGCAAUGGUCUGAGGUGAGUCAGCGGCUUCGGAAAGCGUCUAGACAAGGUUUUAAUGGUCAGCACAGGAAGCAGGGAACGGGACGACAUGAAGGGUAUGGAGAGCAGCAGCAAGGACAGGUUAGGGCUACGGAGUUUUGGUACGAUCACAGGUUUAGGUCUCGGCAUCAGUACCGAGAAUACUCUAGGGAGCAGUUUGUGCAAUUAGUUUCGGUAUCAUCGGAUAGGUUGUGCGGUUGUUCUCAUAUUUUGUUUGGGCAUUGCGUUAAUGGCAGAAGGUAUCAGCAGGUAUCACGCAAUCAUAGCAGGUCAGCAGGUGUUGUUCGUAAACCAUCACACAUUGACAGAAAUUAUCAGGUGCAAUCACGUGUAAACAAUACCAGGUCGCAUGGAGCUUCUCAACGACCUUCAGUGCAGCAAGAUCAUGGUGUUCAUAGGGCUUCUGUUGUGUGGCCAAGGCAGUCAAGGGUUCAACCGGUGUUGGAAAGCGAGGAGGAAUAUUAUGACCGUGAAUUUCCUCAAUUAAAGCCGCAGACAUCCAAGCAUCGAGAAGAGCAAUUUGGUGAAGAGGAAAAUGUCGGGGUCCAGACUAAAACAAAUUGUUUCCUUUUAUUUCGUAAAUGUUCCGGAGUUGAUUCUGUAUUCAUACUUGAGGCAAGGCUUUGAAGUUUGUGGUAUCUUAGAGGACUUAUAUUUAGCAAAAAAUGUUAAUGCUCAAGGGAAGGUUUAUGGCUUUGUCCGUUAUAGUAAUGUUAAAAAUGUGGAAAAAAAUGACUAAAGCUUUGAAUGCCGUCUAAUUUGGUGUUUUUAAAGUGUUUCCUAAGGUUGCACGUUUCGAUCGCUUUGCAAAGUAUUCUAAGGGGAAUGGCAAGGUGGUGAAGGGGUUGAAAAUUGAGGGAGAAAAAAGUGUGAAGGGAGGGAAUAAAAAUGUUGGUGGGGGAGUACAAGAAGAUGAUCAGAAGGUGGUAUAGAAAAAUGGGAAGGGUCUUGAGGGAGGGGAAAGGCGUGUCUGAGGUGUUGAGGGAUGGGACAUUUUGGUAGGCGCAGUGGGUUGUUAUAAGGAUGUGGAGGGAAGGAAGGGGCACAUGGAAGGAGACAAGGAAGGGGGAGAGAAACUGAAGUUGGCGAAGUUGGGGGAGAAGGUGCACUUACCGGUGGCUCAUAGUCGUAGUGUGGGAAUGGGAUGACAUAAUAAAGUUCCUAAAGCAAUGAAAUCGUCAAUUGCGCAGGUACUCGGUUGUGGAAAGCGACAUGUUAUUAAAUAUAGGCCUCAUGUUAAAGAUGUCACUUGGGCGUAGGAUGGUGUUGUUGCAACUGUAAUUAAUGGCGAGUCCAUUCCUCUAAUUCAGCAACGUAUCAUUGACGCCGGUUUUGAGAAUCUAAAUAUUAUUUCUAUGGGGGAAGAUAAGGUUAUGUUGAAGUCUUCUGAUGUUGCAGAUGUGAAUUCGAUACUUACAGGUGCUGUUGAAUUUUUUGCAUCUUUUUUUUUUACCUCUGUUCACGCUUGGAAUAAUGAAUGUGUUAAAUUUGAAAGAGAUGCAUGGGUCCGUCUAUAUGGUGUUCCAUUACAAGCAUUGAAUGCUAAAAAAUUUCGAUUAUGUGCUUUUGAUAUUGGACACUUAAUGUGUUUGGAUACUUGUACGGUGGAUAGAGACUGACUAAAUUUUGUAUGAAUUUUAUUGGCUACAUCAUCUUUGGAUAUUAUUAAUGAGGAGGUCGGAGUUUUGGUUGAUGAUAUUUUGGUUACUAUUAAAGUUGUGGAGGAAUGGGGUUUUGCUAUUGGUGAGGAUGUGUGUUUAUUUGAAGAUGAGUCAAUGCAUGAUGAAAAUGAUAAGGCGGAUGAUCAUGGGGUUCAUAUUAAUAGUAAUGAUGUUGACAAGUUGGUGCAUGAGAUGGCAGAGGAUUGGGUGGAGGAAGAACGGGAGUGUAGUAGUAAUAAUAAUAGUGCGCAUAAUGAUCACGGGGUUGAAGAUGAAUCAUCGUUUCAAGAUGUGCAUGUUUCUUAUGAUAAGGUUGCAGUUACACACGCAUCUAUUCAGCAUAAUUGUAUUGAUCCGAAUGUUUUACGGGUCGGUGUCAUAAUUCUAUGAAGUAGUUAUGGUGCCGAGGGAGCAGAGCAUGCCUAAUGAAGCUUCUGCUCCUUUGGUCGUGAACCAAUUUUGAUUCGAGGUGGGACAGUCGUGUUGUGAAGAAAGCAGCAUCCAGUAUGCGUACCACUUCUUGUUCGCCAGGUUGUACGCGUUCAGUGGUAUCAGGGAUGUGGAGUGUGGAUUGGUCGAGCCGUCAUAAUCAUGGUGAUACAGGUGUUAUUUUUUCAUCUAAAAAUUAAAAAAAAAAUCAAACAGUUAAUUCUCAAGCAAGAAACAUAUAUUUAAGAAGAAAGUGAAUAGUGCUCUGCGUCAUCCUGUAGUCAAUAUCAAGAAAGUUGCUAGGAUGUCAUCCAAGGAACGUCAAACAGUCCUUAAGGAGUUAAGAAAGCAUGUUGGUAAGCGACUUCGUGGUUCUGUGAGUAAUGGGGUUGACAGUAGUUCUAAUGAUACAUCUCAGGCUUCCGUAAAUAAAGAUUGGCAAAACUAGGUUUUUUUACAUGGUAAUAAGGAUGUAGCUACGAAGGAUGUAUGUGGGAUAUGGACGGUGAUUGGUGUGAAAUUUAAUGGGGAUAAGGCAAAUAUGUUUAAUGUGUUAUCCAGAGGGAGGCGAAGAGGUCGAGGGAAGGGGGGGGGUCGGUUUCGAUGAGGGAGCAGCCGAAGGUUGGGCAGUGAGGGUUUGGAGAGGUUGGUGAGAGGGUGGGUAUGGUUGGGUGUGGGUGUUUCUAAUGUAGAUUGUCUCUUGGAAUGUCAAGGGGUUAGCUGGUUUUGAAAAAAGAAAAUAGGGAAGGAAGUAGGUGGGAGAAAAGAAACUGUCUAUUAUAUGUAUACAGGAAACUAUGCUUGGCAAGGUAGAUUAUUUUAUGUGCAAUACGCUAUGGGGAAGUUGUCCUCAUGGCUUUUCGUUCAAAUCGUCAGUUGGGGCUUCUGGCGGACUACUCACCAUGUGGGACAGUGAGGAGGUUGAUAUCAGUUACUCCUCUUUUGAUCAUGUAUUGGCGGUGGGGAGUAGCUUUUUGCACUUUGGUGAGGAUUUUGUUUUAUUUAAUGUGUAUGCUCCGUGUGAUGUGCCGAGCCAAAGUCUGUUGCGAAAGAACUUAUCAUCCAGGUUGGCUAAUUAUGUUGGACACCUUGUCUGUGUCUGUGGUGGUUUUAAUGUUGUUCGGGGGACGAAGGAAUGGCGGAAUGCGGGAAUUAUGCAUAGAGCUACAGGUGUCUCUUCUUUUAAAAAAUUUAUUGACGGUAAUGAUUUAAUUGACCUCCCUCUAAUUGGUCGCCGUUUUACAUGGUAUCUUGAUGACGAUCAUUCAAUGUGCCAUAUUAAUAGAUUUUUAUUGUCUGAAAGUUGGUGUUUAAGGUGGCCAAAUUGUCUUCAGGCAGCCCAGUUAUGUGGCUUGUCUAAUCAUUGUGCUAUCAUUCUUUUUACUGAUGAACCAAAUUUGGGACCAUGUCAUUUCUGCAUGUUAAAAUGUUGAGCAGAUGUGCCAGGUUGUAACUUCUAAGUGGCGGUCGUUUCAGGUGGAUGGGUGGAAUGUUUAUGUCAUGAAGGAAAAAUUAAAAUUGAUUAAGCUUGCCCUUAAGGAAUGGCAUUCGAAACAUACUACUAAUAUUCCAGGUAAAAUAUCUCAAGUAAAGGAUUGUAUUUCGGUGUUAGAUGAAAAAGCAGAGGUCUCGUUUAUUAGGGAGGAGGAGGUGGACGAACUACAUUAUCUUAGUGUAGAGUUACAUUCUUUAUCUCAUAUUUAUUCUAGUAUAUGUUGGCAACAGUUGUGCCUAAAUUGGUUACGGGAAGGGGAUGCUAAUUCAAAUGUUUCCAUGGUACCAUGUAUAGUCGGCGGCGGGUCAAUGUUAUUUCUACAAUUGAUGUGGGAGGUGUUUCAGUGGAAGGUUUUGAUAAUAUCAUGAUGGCGGUUUUUUCACAUUUUCGAACCACUAUAAGGCUCCAGUUGUGGUGUGCCCUAGAGCCACUAUCUUGAAUUUUUGCACACUAUAUAUCAGAGAAGGGACGGCUAUGAAAAAACCAUUCAGCAUGGAGGAACUCAAAAUUGUUGUGUGGGAUUGUGAUAGCUACAAGUGUCUUGGCCCGGAUGGAGUGAAUUUUGGCUUUAUUAAAUAUUUUUGGCUCGAUAUGAAAGAAGAUCUUAUGCAUUUUGUGUCUGAUUUUCACCGUAAUGGAAAGCUUUUAAAAGGUAUAAACAGUACAUUCAUUACGCUCAUUCCAGAAAAAAGAUUCACAACAGAGUUUGAAUUAUUUUCGUCCCAUUUCCUUGGUGGGUAGCUUGUAUAAGGUGUUGGCUAAGUUGUUGGCUAAUAGGCAGAGAUCAGUUAUUGGUAGUGUAAUCUCAGACACACAGUCGAUAUUUGUAAAAGGCAGACAUAUUCUUGAUGGUAUUAUGGUUGCCAAUGAGAUAGUAGAUGAGGCCAAAAAAUAAAAAUAAAGAUUUAUUACCGUUCAAAGUUGAUUUUGAGAAGGCUUCUGAUUCCGUUGAAUGGAAAUAUUUGGAUGAUGUGAUGGAGAAAAUGUCUUUUCCCACUCUUUGGAGGAAAUGGAUGCGGGAGUGUGUUACAACAGCCUCGACAUCGGUCUUAGUUAACGGGAGUCCCACUGCAGAACUUCCCUUGGCUUAAGAUAUUCGUCAAGGGGACCCUAUGUCCCCCUUCUUGUUUUUAUUGGCGGCUGAGGGGUUUCAUGCCAUGAUGGAGUCAAUGAUCGAUUACUAAUAAUAUCUUCUCAGGUUAUAAAGCAGGUUGUGAGAGGUCUCUAUCCAACUCUCACCUCCAAUUUGUGGAUGAUACACUCAUUUUGGGGGAGAGAAGUUGGGCUAAUGUUAGGGCUAUGAGAGCGGUGUUGCAUCUCUUUGCGUCUAUGUCGGGUUUAAAAGUUAAUUUUCACAAAAGUGAGCUUGUUGGUGUUAAUGUUAACCAGUCUUGGUUAGUUAAAGCCGCGACAGUUUUAAAUUGUAAAGUUGGUGCCUUACCUAUCUUAUAUUUGGACCUCCUAGUUAGGGGUGAUGCUCGCCGGUUGAUUUUUUGGGAACUUGUGGUUAAUAGUAUUAAUUAUCUCCUGACUUCACUCCCAGCCUAUGCCCUUUCCUUCUUCAAAGCUCCCUCAUGUAUCAUCGCCUCUAUUAAAUCUCUUUUAAUUCGUUUUUUUUUUGGUGGGUGUGAGGAUAAUAGGAAAAUUACCUGGAUUGAUUGGGGGUCCAUUUGUUUGGAUAAGGUGGUUGGUGGUUUGGGGGUAAGGUGAAUUAGGGAGUUUAGUUUGGCAUUGCUGGGUAAGUGGUGUUGGAGAUUGUUGGUGUACGGCCUAGUCGGAGGGCUGGUGCAGGGUGGUGGCCGGGAGAGGGGUCGGUGUGGUGGAGGACGAUAUGUAGCAUCUGAGAUGGAGAUGGAGGGGUGAUGGGUAGUUGGUUUCCUAACCAAUUACAUCUAAAUGUCGGUAAUGGUGUUAGUAGUCUGUUUUGGUUGGGUAGGUGGAUGAGGGAGGUUCCUUUGUGUGUUAGGUUCCACCGUUUGUAUGAGUUGUCAGAAAAUAAAAUGACAAUUGUCGCGUAGAUGUUUUGUUGGGGUGGGAUGAGGGAGGGGAGGGGAGGCUUGAAAGUGGCGUAGGAGGUUGUGGGCGUGGGAGGAGGAUUUGGUAGUGGAGUGGAGGAAUAUUAUGUCAGAUGUUUUAUUGUAGGUUGAUUCAGAUGACUAUUGGAGGUGGAAUCCGGACCCGGUUGCGGGGUGUUCUGUUAGUGGGGCUUAUCACCUGCUCACAUCAGGGUCGCCCCUCACUACUCAUGUCCAUGCGGCGCAGUUGAUUUAGUUUGCUAGUUCAUCGGUAAUAUGGAAGGAAAGAAAUGACAGGUUGUUUCGCUUAACAGAAAAUGCUCCACCUUAGCUUUUGGAGAAUGUUAAGCUUCUCUCCUUCUAGUGGUUUAAGGCUAAAUUUGUUAAUUUUCAUUAUAGCUUUCACAAUUGGUGCCAAACCCCCAUUUCUAUGUGCGGAUAUUGGUUAAUUGUUAUUUUUGUUGAACUUUUGCUGUAUUUUCGGUUGUCUUCUAAGGUACAUCUUAUGCCGGCAAGAUAGUUUGUUGUUCGUUUAAUAUAUUUCAUUUUUAUUUCUUAAAAAAAAAAAAAAAAAAAUUGAAGGAAAGAAAUGUGUAGUAGUUGUAUGGCUAUAGAAAUGUGACUUGCUUAUGCUUAGUGGCAUUUUUAUUCAAAUAUUGUUCUUCCAGAACCACCAAGUUGAUUUUAAAUUGUUGUUCUUCCAGAACCAGGUUGGUUUUAAAUUAUUUUUCUACUUCAAUACUUUUGUUUUAGUUUGAUAUCUUGGGCAUCUAAGUUUUGUGAUUUCGUGUUGGUUUAAAGUUAUGAAAUAUUUGAGAUUAAAUACAAUUGUGGUUGAAAUUUAAUUGAUGUGAUAUACUUUGGUUUUUAAUGUUUGAAUUAAUACUUUUAGUCUUGUGGUAAUUUAUGUUUGAUACAACAAAAGAUAACACAGCCUAUGGACUAAUUUUUGAUAAUAUUCUGAAGUGAAUCCCAUUCACUAUGACAAAUAGAUAGUGCAACCUAUGAGUCAAGUAUUUAAAGUAUUUUGAAAUGGAAAUUGUACACUGCAACAAUGCGAUAAUGCAGCCUAUGAGUCAAGUACUCAUAAAUUUUUGAAAUUGAUACCAUUUGCUGCAACGAAGAUAAAAUACAGUCUAUAUGAGUAAAGUACUCAUAGUAUUUUUGAAAUGGAUUAUGUUUGCCACAACAAAGGUAUAAUAUGGUUCAUACUAAGGAUUUUAUUGAAAAGUGACAUCCUGCAUGUAUAUAAUUUUAAAAGCAUGAACGAGUUUUCAAAGGAUUAGAUUUUUGCUUUAAAAAAAUAACUGUUUGGAUAAAAAAAAUAGUUAAAUUCUCACUAUUCAUUCAUGCCCACUUUGUUUAUCAUGCUCUUGUUGAAUUUUUGUGACUCACCCUUUCUUUUAUUUCAUUUUAGAUCCACAGCUUGUACGAUAGGAAUCUCCCCGUGUUUUCCAUGUCUAAAGCAGAUUUAAUUUUUAUGGUAGGUCUCUCUAUCCUGAAUCCGGUCAUUGUUUAUGAUUUAUAUAUGAUACAACUAUAGGAGUAAGAGUUGUUCUUCUCGUUUGAAGCAUAUAAAUAAUGAGAUAGUUCUUAUAUACUUUCGUGAUAAUAAAUUUGUGUUUAAGAUGUCCUAAAAGUUUACGAGGUAUAGCCAAAUUUAAGUAUUUUAUAACAGAGCCGUUCUUAGAGUUUUACGAGACUCAAGCAUAAUAUGAAAAAAGGACCCCUUAUAUAAUGUAAUACCCUGCAUAUAAAAAUUAAGUAUCAGUUAUUAUAUCCUUGGAAUUUUUAAGAGAAAGGCAUAAUGGUAAUUUUGCAUAAGACUUUUAAGAACCGUAUCAUAUUAUUUCAACGGACUACGAGGAAUGAAAUAUCUCGCUUAAAACUUUUACGGCAUUUUAUCAGAUAAGUUAAGUUAAGCUGAAAACACUGAUCAGAAGCAGAUAGAGUUCUACUUCUGAAGUGAUGUUCAGGACUAAAUGCAGCGGAUAAAACAGAGAGAGAGAGAGAGAGAGAGAGAGAGAGAGAGAGAGAGAGAGAGAGAGAAGAAGAAGAAGAAGAAGAAGAAGGACACAAAGCAAUUAUACAGGUUCCUUUCACAAACCGGAUGUAGUCUUGUCCCCCUUGCACUUCCAAGGAGAGUUCACUAAAAUGUAAUAUCUGAUUACAACUACUCACUGCUACAACUAGCAAGAGACUUCAAAUUACUCAAGCCCAACUGCAAGAGAUUUCCUAUGCUCCUGAACACAAUCAAGAGACUUCUGAUACUCAAGCACAACUGCAAGAGACUUCUAUUCGAACAGAAUUACAAAGAAAAUUGUUUGAGGUUGAACACUUGAUAUACAAUCAGUGGUGUUCACAAUACAAAUCAGAUACAAACUCUUAAGACUUUAAAAUUUCUAAGAUGUGAACUUUGAUAAGAAAUUCUAAGUGAACUUUUGAUGCAAAACAAUUUCAGCAGAGUUUUGGCGCUUGUAAAUUGUUGUUGAGUCUCUACUUUAUUCUCUAAGUCUUCACUCCUUUAUAUAGAGCUGUGAAAGAGACGUUGUGAAUUGUCAGCACAUAAAAAUAGAGUCGUUUGAAGCUUUGAUCAAUCACCAAUGAUCUUUUGCCUUAUAUGGUUAUUGUCCUAUGAAGGAUCAAUUUCAAAUC